AGAUGAGACAUACAAAUUUCCGUAAAAUUUUCCUUUAGCAGUGUUGUACUUUGCAUUUAGCUUGACAUUUGUACAUUAACAAAUUGGAUUUAAAUUUACAUAAGGUUCUUUGCAUGAUAUUUCUCUCUUAUCUGUCUUUAUUUUCAUUGCAGGCUUCACUUGAAUCUGAGAUGAUAAAGCCACAACUGAUCUGAAACUCUUUGGUGUCAAUCUAAAGUGACAUGAAGGGGUCGUUGGUCGGAUUUCACUGAGUAUCAAAACGAAGCUCCAAAAGCAGAAGUUACACGAUGAAGAAUCUGGAGCGAAAGACGAGGAGAUAGAGAGGAAGAUGGAGAUUGGGCAAAGGGUUUAAGCUCAGCUUGGUUGUCUCGAGGAAGAGACUAAGCGCAUUGCCUUGAUCCGUGAGAAGCUUAGCAUGAUAACGAGUAGAAAGAAGUUGCAUUGGUCAGGAAGAAGAUUGAUUUUGUCAACAAAGAAUUCUCAACAAGCCAAUCUGUAAAGCUACCACCACCAGCAAAGAAUCCUCAAGGUUCCAAAAAAGAGGAGAUUGAGUAGCCAAAUCCAGGUUGAAGAGAAAAAUGAUGAAAUCAGACUGUGGUGGAACAUCCUGAGGAUUAAAACAAAUUGAUAGUAAUCAGAAUAGUAGUUCGGGAGUAAGCUACAAGCAAGCUACUAAAUCUGCGACAGCAAGCUGAGGCUACAUGGCACUUCUUCCCCUCGCAACAAGGGUCUGAGAAAACCACUAGACGUUACUCGCUACCAUAUUCAGGUAAUAAUGCAAGAGUUACUUCUGGUUUUCCUGAAACAACAGGAGUCUCAGACUUGGGCGGCAACACCAUCUUUUAUCCUAUGCAAAUAUGUUUCUCCGGUUACCUGAUCAUAUAAAUUUGUUUCUGUGUUGUGCGAGCAGACAAAUCUUUAAACAUGAACAUGUUUUUUUUAGAAUUGAAUAUGAACAUGUUACCAACGCCUUA